UAUCCCCUGUGUGCCUUGCCGCGUGUGUGAAGAAGGCCUUCGGGUUGUAAAGCACUUUCAGUAAGGAGGAAAGGGUUAAGUGUUAAUAGCACUUAGCUGUGACGUUACUUACAGAAGAAGCACCGGCUAACUCCGUGCCAGCAGCCGCGGUAAUACGGAGGGUGCGAGCGUUAAUCGGAAUUACUGGGCGUAAAGCGUACGCAGGCGGUUUGUUAAGCGAGAUGUGAAAGCCCCGGGCUCAACCUGGGAACUGCAUUUCGAACUGGCAAACUAGAGUGUGAUAGAGGGUGGUAGAAUUUCAGGUGUAGCGGUGAAAUGCGUAGAGAUCUGAAGGAAUACCGAUGGCGAAGGCAGCCACCUGGGUCAACACUGACGCUCAUGUACGAAAGCGUGGGGAGCAAACAGGAUUAGAUACCCUGGUAG
rnacentral:rRNA from 1 species